rnacentral:rRNA from 1 species
AUGGAGGAAGAAGCUCUGAGGGCGGCGAUGGAAGACGCCUUUCUGGAGGGUGCGGUUGAAUGGCGAGCGGACACCAUCCUCCAGACCCUGCGGAUGGACAAGCUGGAUGCGUGGAUCCGCGGAGAGGGGCUUGCCGAUGAGAUCGAGGGGCUCAAAUCUGAGAUCGAUGAAGUCAUGGCGGCGGUAUCCUAUGUCAAGGGGAGGGCGGUAGGCAACAGGCGGAUGGCGAGGUCUCUCGCGGCGCUCAAGCAGAAGCUCUUCGACGCCGAUGACGCUGUCGACGAGCUCGACUACUACAGACUUCAACACCAUGUCGUCGAGGUCGAAGGAGGCCAACACGCGCUGCCGUCUUCAUCCAACGCGCACAAUCGCUUCGCUUCCGAUGGUGUUACCCAGUCUUUCACCACAGCCACAACGACUACCGCUGCAGUCACUUUGCAGGAGCCAGAAGGCAUGCAUGAAGCAGCGCGAGUAGAUCAUGGCACAUCGAUGGGCGAUGGUGAUAAUAUACUACCGAGAAGAGGUCAUAGCAAGAAACGGUCCAAGGCAUGGGAUGGUUUUGACGAGAGAUAUGACACUGAUGGAAAGACCGUGGGGGCAGAAUGUAGACACUGUAAAAAGAAACUUAAAUACGACGGUAAACAAGGGCCAAGAGUCUUGAUGACUCACUCCAAUAGUGCCAAGUGUAAGAAUACGCGAGAACCACGUCUCCAGCCGCCAAGCCAUUCAAGCAUGGAUGAUGCUACUGAAAAUGCUACCCCCGUUGCUGUCAGUAAUUCACCCAGCAUACCAAGGAUGGGAACGAAUCCAGAGCCAACACAAAUCACCGCAGCUGUUGCUCACCCUUGGAAUAAGGACGAAAUUUCCAGUAAGAUACAGAAAAUAACUCAUCAGUUGCAAGGCAUCCGAGGGGAUGUGACAAAGGAUCUCAACAUGCUUGGGUCACAUUAUGGUGCAAGUUCAGCUCACCAUCAAAGUACAGCCUCAGAUCCAAGCCGAAGAACAUCAAGUCUUCUUCAAGGCAAAGUGUAUGGGAGAGACAAAGAGAAGAACACCAUCAUACAGCUGAUGACUGCUGGGAAAUCUGACAGUUUGACUGUUGUGCCCAUUGUAGGCAUUGGAGGUACUGGGAAGACGGCUCUCGCGCAAUCUGUAUAUAAUGAUCCGAAAGUGCAAAACCAAUUUGACCACAGCAUAUGGAUUUGGGUGUCUAAUAGCUUCGAUGAAAUGAGACUCACAAAAGAGAUGUUAGAUGUUGUCCCUCGAGAAAAGCACGAAGGGUUGUGCAGCCUUGACAAUCUUCAGCAGGUCUUGAAAACUCAUAUUGAAUCAAAGAGGGUUAUGCUUAUUUUAGAUGAUGUUUGGGAUGACAUGAACAAUUCCAGAUUGGACCUAAUACUGGCUCCCUUCAAGUCAAACAAUGCAAAUGGCAAUGCGAUCCUUGUGACGACCAGAUAUCUAUCCGUUGCAAAAAGGAUAGGAACAACUGAACCUGUUUUGUUAUGUGCUCUGGGAGAUGCCGAUUUUUGGUUACUGUUCAAAGCACGAGCAUUUUGUGAUGAGAAAUAUGAAGGAAAUCUAACAAAUAUUGGACGGGAAAUAGCAGGCAAGCUAAAAGGCAACCCAUUAGCAGCAGUAACUGCAGGGGAACUAUUAAGAGUUGAUCUUACAGUUGAUCACUGGACUAAAAUUCUCAAGGAGGAAGAUUGGAAAUUGUUGGGGCUCAGUGAAGGUAUCAUGUCUUCUUUGAAGCUUAGCUAUGAUCAACUGCCGUACCAUUUACACCAAUGCUUCUCGUACUGUUCUAUAUUCUCUGAUAAUCAUUGGUUUCUUCGUGAAGAGUUGGUACACAUGUGGAUUUCACAAGGAUUUGUCAAGCAGAGCCAUCCAAGUAAGAGAUUGGAGGAGAUAGGAAUGGACUAUUUGGCAGAUUUGGUGAACCUGGGCUAUUUUCAACAAGAUGGAAUAGAAAAUUCAUAUGUUGUGUCUGGUCUUAUGCAUGAUUUUGCAAGGAUGGUUUUUAGAGCUGAGUGUGGGGUUGUAGAUGGUAUGCAAUGCAAUGAUAUGUUACCCACUGUACAACAUUUGGCGAUAGUUUACAAGAGAGAUCAGCAUGGUUACAUGUCUUGUAGGAGCAAGUUUGAAGAAGAUUUGAGAAAUGCAGUUACAUCCGUGAGAAAACUGAGGACAUUGGUGUUAAUAAGGGAAUCCAGCUGUUCCUGUUUCCAGUCCUUCGGUGACAUAUUCCAGAAGGCACAUGAUACACGUCUUCUACAUAUAUCUUCAAGAUUUGCAGAAUUUAAUCCCCUCAUGUGCAGUUCUGUAAAUCCUAUUCAUCUUCGCUAUGUAAAACUUGAUGGGUGUGGAGAUUUGCCUCAGGUUUUGAGCAGUUUUUGCCACCUCCAAGUAUUACAUCUCGGGUCAGACACUGGUCUUAAUGUGCCUGAUGGCAUGAAUAAUCUUGUCAGUUUGCGGCAUCUUUUUGCACCUUCCAAUUCCAUUGCUAGAAUUGGCAGAUUAACCUCACUUCAGACACUAAACAAUUUCCGCGUACAAGAUUCUAAUGGCUUUCAGAUUACAGAGCUUCAACCCAUGAAUGAUCUUGCCCAACUUGGGAUUUCUGGACUUCCAAAUGUUAAAACUCAGGAGGAGGCUUGCGGGGUAGGGCUGAGAUAUAAACGAUACUUAGAAAAGCUGCACUUGUCCUGGAAUAUGUCAGAUGUUGAAUCCGACUCAGAUGGCAGCAAUGAAUCUGACUCAGAUGACAGCAAUGAAUCUAAGAAUGUCAUGAGCUCUGAACCUUCUACCAGCAAAGAAACAGAGGAGUGCUUGCCAACAGAGGUACUUGAGGGUCUAAAACCACAUUACAACCUGAAACAUCUUCAGAUAACUGGGUACAAUGGUGCUGCCUCUCCAUCCUGGCUUGCUCGCAAUAUCUCUGUUACCUGUUUACAGACUCUGUAUUUGAAUGGCUGUGGAGAAUGGCGGAUACUUCCAUCUUUGAGAGGGCUUCCGUUUCUUGCAAAUUUAAAGUUGAGAAACAUGCCAAAAGUAGAAGAAGUAUGGGUUCUUUCAUUGAAGAAGUUGGUGUUAGUUAAAAUGCCAAAGUUGGAGAGAUGCUCAUGCGUUUCCUUGAGGGACUUGAAUUCUUGUUUAAGGGUUCUGAAGAUUAAGCAUUGCCCUGCACUGAAGGUGUUUGAUCUCUUUGGGAAUGGCCAUGAAUUCAAAAUUGAGCAGAAGUCAUGGUUGCCACGCCUUUGUGAGCUCACUCUAAAGAACUGUCGUCUGUUGGUGGUACCAUACCCUUUACCAUCUGCAAGUACUGUCUGUAGUAUUUCCGUGAGCAGAGUCUCAAAAUUUCCAACAAUAGAAGUAUGGUCCUGCCGUUUAACCAUAGGUGAGGAUAUUUUUGGGCGUGUACCUUUGUAUGAGGAUUAUUUUAACAAGUUUACUGAUGAGCUGUUCGUGUUAGAUGGAAAUAUUUUGGCAUUCCAUAAUCUAAGAUUCCUGACACAGUUGAUAAUAGGUUGUUGCCAAAAACUAACGUCUAUUUCACUCAAAGGAUUAAGUCAACUUGAAUCAUUAAAGACACUGAAAAUAAAGGGCUGUGCCAGGCUUUCCGGUCUCGAUGCUCCACCAGAGCAUGCCCUCCCAUCACUCGAAUAUCUAGAGAUUGGGGCAUGUGGAAUAGCGUGGGAGUGGCUAUCUCUGAUUCUGCAACAUGCGCCAGCACUAACGGAAUUGGAUUUAUGGGACUGCCCAAAACUGGGUUCUCUACAACUGAACUCCUGCACGACACUGCAAAAGUUGAGCGUAGAUAUCUUUGAAUCGCUCGGCACACUAGAGCUGCACUUUUGCACGGCAUUGGAAGAUUUGUUCAUCUGUGAAGCUGCAGUCUGCGUGCUAGAGGGCUCGCAAUCACUCAGGAAGUUGCGACUCCAUGACAGCCAUUAUUUGGAAUCUCUAAAACUGCACUCCUGCACGGCACUGGAAGAGUUGGAUAUUCGGAGCUGUACAUCACUCUGUACACUAGAGGGCUUUCAAUCCCUUGGCAGCCUCAGGCGUUUGUAUCUACGUGAUUGCCCUGGCUUGCAUUCAUUUUUGGAGGGUUUGCCAGAGCAAGAUUACAAUUUAUGCCCUCGACUGGAAUUUCUUGAUAUCAGUGGCUUCUCUUUCCUUGCCACACCGUUCUGCAAGCAACUCACGUCACUCCAGCGCCUAGUUUUUUGUGGUUUGGAUGGAGAAAAAACAGAAGAAGGACUAACAGAUGAGCAAGAGAGAGGGCUUCUGCUCCUCGGUUCCCUCACAGAGCUCGAAUUUGAGACUUAUGCGCAUCUUGAAUAUCUUCCCGCAAGCCUGCACAGACUUCGCUCCCUCCAGGUGUUGGAGAUUUCAUUUUGUCCGAGCAUCUCAGGAUUGCCGGACCUCCCGCCUUCUCUUGAGGAGUUGAGAAUCUUCCAUGGCAGUGAGGAGCUGAAACAUCAAUCCAUAUCGCGGGCAUCAAGCAAGUUAAAGGUCAAAAUUGACGGCCAAUAUGUGAAUUGA